CUCUGACAUGCCUCAAAGGUCCAAGGAGAAUCCCCAAUUCACACAAACUCAGGAUGAGACCAGCAAUAGCAAUGUUUGUUCAUUCUGUGAGAAAAUAAUUGAUGGAAAGGUCAAGCUCUACACCAGCAUACCUGCGAUGACCUGCCACCCUGACUGUCUGAAGUGUUAUGUGUGUGCAAAGUCCCUGGGAGAUAUGCUGACCCCCAUGUUCUUUGCCGAACAAAUGAUCCGAUGUGGUGGCUGCUUUGUAGACGCUUUCAAGACCACCACCUAACUGGGACGAAUAUACCUAAACCAGUUACCCUUGAAGACUUAAAGCAUUCUACAAUAAACAUGCUGUUUGGACAGAGGACCUCACUGCUUUCCCCAUAACUCUGUACAAUUCUUAACAAUAUGUAUUAUAAGAAUUCAUUUAAAGAUGUGGUGGCAUACUAAAUCUAAUUCAAAGAUGCCAAAUAUGAGAUGCAAUCACCAUGAAAGAUGUUAAUCGUGACAUACUGUAUUUGUUUGAAUAAACACUAAUUACUGCUUCA